AACGCACCUUGCGCUCCUUGGUAUUCCGAGGAGCAUGCCUGUUUGAGUGUCAUGUUAUUCUCAAUCCCGUCUGCUUUGCGGCCGUCGGGUUUGGGUGUGGAGGCUUGCUGGCCCCUCGCGGUCGGCUCCUCUUGAAUGCAUUAGCGGGGCUUAUGCUCGAUGCAACGGUGUAAUACUUUCUUUUCACCGGAGUAACUUGCAAUGGAAAGUCCGCUUCUAAUCGUCUCGCAUGAGACAUUGUAAAGGGAUGGAUUUCUCUUUGACACCUUUGACCUCAAAUCAGGUAGGACUACCCGCUGAACUUAA
rnacentral:misc_RNA from 1 species